rnacentral:rRNA from 1 species
AUGAACGCUAGCGACAGGCUUAACACAUGCAAGUCGAGGGGCAGCACAGGUAGCAAUACCGGGUGGCGACCGGCGCACGGGUGAGUAACGCGUAUGCAACUUGCCUAUCAGAGGGGGAUAACCCGGCGAAAGUCGGACUAAUACCGCAUGAAGCAGGGGCCCCGCAUGGGGAUAUUUGCUAAAGAUUCAUCGCUGAUAGAUAGGCAUGCGUUCCAUUAGGCAGUUGGCGGGGUAACGGCCCACCAAACCGACGAUGGAUAGGGGUUCUGAGAGGAAGGUCCCCCACAUUGGUACUGAGACACGGACCAAACUCCUACGGGAGGCAGCAGUGAGGAAUAUUGGUCAAUGGCCGAGAGGCUGAACCAGCCAAGUCGCGUGAGGGAUGAAGGUUCUAUGGAUCGUAAACCUCUUUUAUAAGGGAAUAAAGUGCGGGACGUGUCCCGUUUUGUAUGUACCUUAUGAAUAAGGAUCGGCUAACUCCGUGCCAGCAGCCGCGGUAAUACGGAGGAUCCGAGCGUUAUCCGGAUUUAUUGGGUUUAAAGGGUGCGUAGGCGGCCUUUUAAGUCAGCGGUGAAAGUCUGUGGCUCAACCAUAGAAUUGCCGUUGAAACUGGGGGGCUUGAGUAUGUUUGAGGCAGGCGGAAUGCGUGGUGUAGCGGUGAAAUGCAUAGAUAUCACGCAGAACCCCGAUUGCGAAGGCAGCCUGCCAAGCCAUUACUGACGCUGAUGCACGAAAGCGUGGGGAUCAAACAGGAUUAGAUACCCUGGUAGUCCACGCAGUAAACGAUGAUCACUAGCUGUUUGCGAUACACUGUAAGCGGCACAGCGAAAGCGUUAAGCGAUCCACCUGGGGAGUACGCCGGCAACGGUGAAACUCAAAGGAAUUGACGGGGGCCCGCACAAGCAGUGGAGUAUGUGGUUUAAUUCGAAGCAACGCGAAGAACCUUACCAGGUCUUGACAUCCGAUGCAUAGCACAGAGAUGUGUGAAAUCCUUCGGGACAUCGAGACAGGUGGUGCAUGGUUGUCGUCAGCUCGUGCCGUGAGGUGUCGGCUUAAGUGCCAUAACGAGCGCAACCCUUGCCACUAGUUACUAACAGGUAAAGCUGAGGACUCUGGUGGGACUGCCAGCGUAAGCUGCGAGGAAGGCGGGGAUGACGUCAAAUCAGCACGGCCCUUACAUCCGGGGCGACACACGUGUUACAAUGGCGUGGACAAAGGGAAGCCACCUGGCGACAGGGAGCGAAUCCCCAAACCACGUCUCAGUUCGGAUCGGAGUCUGCAACCCGACUCCGUGAAGCUGGAUUCGCUAGUAAUCGCGCAUCAGCCAUGGCGCGGUGAAUACGUUCCCGGGCCUUGUACACACCGCCCGUCACACCAUGAGAGUUGGGGAUACCCGAAGCCUGUGAGCCAACAGUUAAAUGGGGCAGCAGUCGAAGGUAGAAUCAAUGAUUGGGGUG